UCCAUCUCGCUAUCCCUGUUGAAGUGGGAGAAAGGGGGAAUCUUUUGGGGGAGGUCGAGCCGAGAGAGCGGAGCGAGAGAAAGAGAGGAAGCAGGAGAGAAGUCGAGCGAUGGCGAAGCCGCUGGGGCCGACGGGGGAGUUCUUCCGGCGGAGGGACGAGUGGAGGAAGCAUCCGAUGGUGGGCAACCAGCUGCGCCAGGCCCUCCCGGGCCUCGGCACCGCCCUUGUCGCCUUCGGCAUCUACCUCGUUGGCGAGGCCAUCUACAACCGCGUCCACCGAUCCGAUCCCCAUUCCUCUAACCACUGAAUCGAAAACCCUGAGGUGAAGGUGUGGGUGAAGAAAUGCAAUCUGGGCCUUCUAGCCUUUACUAUUUCAUCAUCUUCUUAUUGUAGUUUGAAGGGCACAUGAUCCUUGUCAGAGGAUUCCAUGUGCACCAGCCUUCAUAAUUCCAACCAGAGAUUCAUAUUACUGGUUUACUUCAACAUUUGUAUGGUCAAAUUUAUGAGACCUAAUGUGUUUGCCCUUUAUACUCUUGUACACCCCUGCUAGGCUACCAAGCAAGUAGCAUUUUAUGCAUGGUUGUGGUUGGAGAGGCUGAAUACAUAAUAUUUGUGUGCAAAUAAGGAUUAUCCGA